AUUGAACGCUGGCGGCAGGCCUAAUACAUGCAAGUCGAACGAGUGGCGGACGGGUGAGUAAUGUCUGGGAAACUGCCCGAUGGAGGGGGAUAACUACUGGAAACGGUAGCUAAUACCGCAUACCAUCGGAUGUGCCCAGAUGGGAUUAGCUAGUAGGUGGGGUAAAGGCUCACCUAGGAGACGAUCCCUAGCUGGUCUAAGAGGAUGACCAGCAAAACUGGAACUGAGACACGGUCCAGACUCCUACGGGAGUCAGCAGUGGGGAAUAUUGCGCAAUGGGAGAAAGCCUGAUGCAGCCAUGCCGCGUGUGUGAAGAAGGCCUUCGGGUUGUAAAGCGCUUUCAGCGAGGAAGCGUUACUCGCAGAAGAAGCACCGGCUAACUCCGUGCCAGCAGCCGCGGUAAUAC
rnacentral:rRNA from 1 species